ensembl:ncRNA lncRNA:CR43883 long non-coding RNA:CR43883
ACCCAGUGCCACCAGUGGCAGAAGCUCCGCAGCCAUUCAACAAAUUUCACUUUAUUGAUGGGCACUGCACUUGAAUUGCUGGGGCAUCGCAAUCGCGACGGCCACCUAAGCAAACACAGCCGAUUUGCCACGCUUGGCCGCACAACGAGGCGUAUGCGUGAUUUGGCAUUAGCAUUAACAUGGGCAACAGCUGUUCGAUCCAAGCCAAAGAUCACACAACUUGCUCCACCUGGAUUUUAGUUCAGCCCCACUGCAGUUCGCCUUGUGUUCGCCGUUCAAGUCCGCAACUUAAAUGCUAAGUGGGCAAAAAUGCGUGGAGAUGACAUUCGCAGUGCACUGAAAAAAAAAGAGGAAGAGGAAUGCUUAAGGAAAAUGUGAAGAAAUUCUCUAAAUUAAUUUUAACAACAUAUAUUUGCAUUGGCAACGAGGUGCAGCCAACUGUGCAGUUUCAGCUCUGCGGAGUUUCCUUCUGAAGCAAGAACAUCACUUCAACAAUGAUUAAGCCUCGACUGCAUGUAUGUAUGUAUAUCACACAUAAAAUGAGUGUACAGUGCUCAUACAUAUGUACAUAUAUCCAAAAGCCCCAUGUUGAUUGCUCAGCGGAGCUUAUCUGGAGCGAAAUGACCCCAAAAAUGCGAUGGCAAGCGGCAACAAGGAGUGAAUUCGUCACGGAUUCGACCCUGAAUUUAAUGGUUCACAGAUUGCCAUUUGUCGUGGUCAAAUGAUUUGCAAAUUACAUUUAAUUCAUUUUGGU